CCACAGUAAGAGAGUCAAUUGUUUUCCUAGGGCACUGUUUUACAUUUUCACAUUAAAACAAUAAGCUAAGACAUGCCCAUUCCAUACACUAAACAGCAAUGUGAUCAUAUUGGCUUUACUCUGGUCCAUCCUGAACCGGGUCUAUAGUUUGUUACCUUCACUAUUUGUGUUGUGUCUAAUUUUAGAUUGGAAGCUCUUUUGGAAGGGGCUGGGUCUUUCUAUGUAGUGUGUGAAGUGCUUAGCACAUUUCUGAGUGCUGCAAAAUAACUAAAGGAUAAGAAUGCAUCUUACAGGCCUGGAUACUGAAAAUUCUACCGGUCCUGCAGCCGAGAGGCAUCUUUCUAAUAAGAACUAAGGAUCUGACGACGGUGCAGUCAGGAAGUGUGACUGCAGCACAUCUAGCCAGAUCAAAGUUAGCUUGAGUAACAAUAGUAGUAAAAUUGCAGUGGCACGGGCAGUGGCUGCUCAAGUAUGUGGGAAGGUGGUGGGUAGGCCAUGCAGCCUCCUGUGUUGCUUUGGCUACACUGCUAUUGUUACUUGAACUGGCAGAUGUUAUUCCAUGUAGUUCAUUUGUGUGAUGGGACGUCCUUGCCAGGAUGGAUGGAAAUUUAAGGCACCAAAACUUUCCAGUUGUGACUCUGAAUCUGUCAUUUUUUUCAUUCCUGUCUUUGAAGAGCUAAUGAUACUAAAGAGCAGUUCAAUAAACACAGGCUCAAUACUUACUUUGUGCAUCUUUUCUGCUUACACAGCCCACCAGCAAAUGGUUGCAGACCAACCUCAUUGGAGAAGGACCUAGAAGCAGUGAGCCCCACUCUUUGUUGCAGACUUUUGUUUCCACCUAUGCAGGGUUGCUGAUGGGAAAGUCAGGUCACAUGGUUUGGAAGACACAAGCUUUACCAUCAUGGUUGCCAACCCCACUAUCUCCUGGGACACUGGGAUCCAUCUUGACACCUUUGGACCUUCAUCGUCCUGAUCCUGAAAGGCAUCCUGACCAGCCCAGGCCAGAGGGGGAAACAGAUAUCAUCACCACCUCCAACAGCAUCAGCUAACUCCUGAAUACCACCUGGGAUGGCUCUUUAAUCCGAUUUCUGUACUCCACCUCGGCAAGUGGAGUAGCGCUUAAAUCGAGAUUGCAAUCCUGGGUUAAAGGUAUCGUGGACACAAUUCGACAUUAUUGGCCUCCGGGAGCUAUCCCAGAAUGCUCCCUUGUGACUGCUCUGGACAACACGCUCAACUCCGAUGCACUAGCCAGGUGGGCAGGAAAAGCCCUGGGAACUUUUGAAUUUCAUUUCCUAUUUGGUCACCAUCAGCACAGGUGACCAUCAGCACAGUCCACCAUCACAGGCGACCAUGCAGAGUCCACCAUCACAAGAGAUCACGCAGUCCUGGAUUCUCAGACGAGCUCCAGCAUGGUUUGAACGGUAGGUACUGGAUCUCAUUGCAUGUUGGGGAGACGAGUCUGUUAUGGCAGAACUACGCUCCAAAAAAAGGAACGCAAAUACGCACGCUAAAGUCUCCAGGUCCAUGACGGAAAGAGGCUACUCUAGGGACACAGA